UCUACGUGUGGCAGCAGUGGGGAAUAUUGCGCAAUGGGCGAAAGCCUGACGCAGCGACGCCGCGUGAGGGAUGAAGGUCUUCGGAUCGUAAACCUCUGUCAGCAGGGAAGAACGGUCACUGUGCUAAUCAGCAGUGAAUUGACGGUACCUGCAAAGGAAGCACCGGCUAACCCCGUGCAAGCAGCCGCGGUAAUACGGAGGGUGCGGGCGUUAAUCGGAAUUACCGGGCGAAACGCGCUCUUGGCGGUAUGGCAAGUCAAGGGUGAAAUCCCCGCGCUCAACGUUGGAACUGCCUUUGAAACUGGCAAACUGGAGUGUGUGAGAGGAUAGUGGAAUUCCAGGUGUAGGAGUGAAAUCCGUAGAUAUCUGGAGGAACAUCAGUGGCGAAGGCGACUAUCUGGCACAUAACUGACGCUGAGGAGCGAAAGCGUGGGUAGCAAACAGGAUUAGAUACCCGUGUAGUC
rnacentral:rRNA from 1 species